rnacentral:tRNA from 1 species
GGGUCGUUAGGCUAAUUGGCAAACCGCUUAUCUCCAAAAUAAGAAUUGAGGGUUCGAGUCCUUCACGGCCCGCUA